rnacentral:rRNA from 1 species
GUCGAACGGCAGCACGGGAGCUUGCUCCUGGUGGCGAGUGGCGAACGGGUGAGUAAUGCGUCGGAACGUACCGAGUAAUGGGGGAUAACGCAGCGAAAGCUGUGCUAAUACCGCAUACGCCCUGAGGGGGAAAGUGGGGGAUCGCAAGACCUCACGUUAUUCGAGCGGCCGACGUCUGAUUAGCUAGUUGGUGGGGUAAUGGCCUACCAAGGCGACGAUCAGUAGCGGGUCUGAGAGGAUGAUCCGCCACACUGGAACUGAGACACGGUCCAGACUCCUACGGGAGGCAGCAGUGGGGAAUUUUGGACAAUGGGGGCAACCCUGAUCCAGCCAUUCCGCGUGAGUGAAGAAGGCCUUCGGGUUGUAAAGCUCUUUCAGCUGGAACGAAACGGUACGCUCUAACAUAGCGUGCUAAUGACGGUACCGGCAGAAGAAGCACCGGCUAACUACGUGCCAGCAGCCGCGGUAAUACGUAGGGUGCGAGCGUUAAUCGGAAUUACUGGGCGUAAAGCGUGCGCAGGCGGAUUGUUAAGCAAGAUGUGAAAUCCCCGGGCUUAACCUGGGAAUGGCAUUUUGAACUGGCAGUCUAGAGUGCGUCAGAGGGGGGUAGAAUUCCACGUGUAGCAGUGAAAUGCGUAGAGAUGUGGAGGAAUACCGAUGGCGAAGGCAGCCCCCUGGGAUAACACUGACGCUCAUGCACGAAAGCGUGGGGAGCAAACAGGAUUAGAUACCCUGGUAGUCCACGCCCUAAACGAUGUCAACUAGUUGUCGGGAGGGUAACCCUCUUGGUAACGCAGCUAACGCGUGAAGUUGACCGCCUGGGGAGUACGGUCGCAAGAUUAAAACUCAAGGAAUUGACGGGGGCCCGCACAAGCGGUGGAUUAUGUGGAUUAAUUCGAUGCACGCGAAAACCUUACCUACCCUUGACUGUACGGAACUUGCCAGAGAUGGCUUGGUGCUCGAAG